rnacentral:rRNA from 1 species
GACGAACGCUGGCGGCGUGCUUAACACAUGCAAGUCGAACGGAGCGAAUGAAAGCUUGCUUUUAUAAGCUUAGUGGCAAACGGGUGAGUAACACGUAGGCAACCUGCCGACAGGAUGGGGACAACAUUCCGAAAGGAAUGCUAAUACCGAAUGAAGCGGAGGGGAGGCAUCUCCCUUCCGUGAAAGAUGGCCUCUAUUUAUAAGCUAUCACCUGUCGAUGGGCCUGCGUCUGAUUAGCUGGUUGGUGAGGUAACGGCUCACCAAGGCGACGAUCAGUAGCCGGUCUGAGAGGAUGAACGGCCACAUUGGGACUGAGACACGGCCCAGACUCCUACGGGAGGCAGCAGUGGGGAAUCUUCCGCAAUGGGCGCAAGCCUGACGGAGCAACGCCGCGUGAGUGAAGAAGGUCUUCGGAUCGUAAAGCUCUGUUGAUGGGGACGAACGUGCCUAAUGCGAAUAGUAUUAGGUA